CUCCCCAAACCCUGUAUUCAUACCCGCCCUUGGAGGGUAAUUCGCCCCACUUGGGACUGAGACACGGCCCCAGCUUCUUAGGGGAGGCACCAGUAGGGAUUCUUCCCCAAUGGCCGAAAGUCUGAUGGAGCAACGCCGCGUGAGUGAAGAAGGUUUUCGGAUCGUAAAACUCUGUUGUUGGAGAAGAAUGUAUCUGAUAGUAACUGAUCAGGUAGUGACGGUAUCCAACCAGAAAGCCACGGCUAACUACGUGCCAGCAGCCGCGGUAAUACGUAGGUGGCAAGCGUUGUCCGGAUUUAUUGGGCGUAAAGCGAGCGCAGGCGGUUUCUUAAGUCUGAUGUGAAAGCCUUCGGCUCAACCGAAGAAGUGCAUCGGAAACUGGGAAACUUGAGUGCAGAAGAGGACAGUGGAACUCCAUGUGUAGCGGUGAAAUGCGUAGAUAUAUGGAAGAACACCAGUGGCGAAGGCGGCUGUCUGGUCUGUAACUGACGCUGAGGCUCGAAAGCAUGGGUAGCAAACAGGAUUAGAUACCCUGGUAGUCCAUGCCGUAAACGAUGAGUGCUAGGUGUUGGAGGGUUUCCGCCCUUCAGUGCCGCAGCUAACGCAUUAAGCACUCCGCCUGGGGAGUACGACCGCAAGGUUGAAACUCAAAGGAAUUGACGGGGGCCCGCACAAGCGGUGGAGCAUGUGGUUUAAUUCGAAGCAACGCGAAGAACCUUACCAGGUCUUGACAUCCUUUGACCACUCUAGAGAUAGAGCUUUCCCUUCGGGGACAAAGUGACAGGUGGUGCAUGGUUGUCGUCAGCUCGUGUCGUGAGAUGUUGGGUUAAGUCCCGCAACGAGCGCAACCCUUAUUACUAGUUGCCAGCAUUUAGUUGGGCACUCUAGUGAGACUGCCGGUGACAAACCGGAGGAAGGUGGGGACGACGUCAAAUCAUCAUGCCCCUUAU
rnacentral:rRNA from 2 species